rnacentral:rRNA from 1 species
CCUACGGGUGGCAGCAGUGGGGAAUAUUGCACAAUGGGGGAAACCCUGAUGCAGCGACGCCGCGUGAAGGAAGAAGUAUUUCGGUAUGUAAACUUCUAUCAGCAGGGAAGAAAAUGACGGUACCUGACUAAGAAGCCCCGGCUAACUACGUGCCAGCAGCCGCGGUAAUACGUAGGGGGCAAGCGUUAUCCGGAUUUACUGGGUGUAAAGGGAGCGUAGGCGGUGAUGCAAGUCAGAAGUGAAAGCCCGCAGCUCAACUGCGGGACUGCUUUUGAAACUGUAUGACUAGAUUGCAGGAGAGGUAAGUGGAAUUCCUGGUGUAGCGGUGAAAUGCGUAGAUAUCAGGAGGAACACCGGUGGCGAAGGCGGCCUGCUGGACUGCAACUGACGUUGAGGCCCGAAAGCGUGGGGAGCAAACAGGAUUAGAUACCCUAGUAGUC